UCCCUGGUGGUCCAGUGGUUAGGACUCAGUUCUUACACUGCUAAGGACCCUAGUUCAAUCCCUGAUCAGGGAA
rnacentral:tRNA from 1 species